rnacentral:lncRNA from 1 species
GGCAUGGUGAUUCUAGGGUUUGGAUUCCGACUUGAUAGUUUUAAUCGUUAAAGCUAUUGACUUAUUUGAUUUAAAAAUUUUAAAAAUCAUUUUUUACUGCAUUGCUGGAACCCAACACUAUAUUGUUAUUGGUAUUAACUCGCUCAACGAUCACAUCACAUCUUUUGACUAUCUCCUGAAUGAGGUGGAACUGUCUUAAGAUGUGUUUGGAUUUGUGAUAAGAUCUUGGCUC